rnacentral:lncRNA from 1 species
GGCUUGUAGACGGAAGACAGUGAAUGGAGAGUAGAGAGUGUGACACUGUUUUGAGUUUUGUAUUUUAAAGUUUAAAAACAAAUUUUUGUUGAAGUUUCUGGUUUUACAAAGACCUAACAUACACAUUAUCACAUCUGUCGAUCGAUGGACAUUUUUUGCUGUUAAACGUUCAGUGCGAGGGAGUGAAAGUUGUUGGACCUGCCGCGGACGGGAAGAUUGACUGGAGAGAGACCGAGACUUUGCUGAUCGUGCCUGUUUGCAUCGUGAACGGAGGAUUCGUGAAGGCGGUUAUACAACUCAUCUUCGUGAGCGCGGACGAACGUUUGUAGACUUCGCCAUUUCAUCGGAUUUUACUCAAAUGAAGUGGAACCGCAGAUGAGAGACUCUUCUGCCGUCCUAUCUCUCUAGGGAGCAGGAGAGGGAGCCUUUUCCAUGAAACCUUUUCAAAGCCUCAUCUGUGUCUUCCAUUAGCCAUGCAGAACGAGAAGAAAGCAAGACGCCCGCAUAAAACACACCUUUUCUGGUGUGAGGGGAAACACCAGAGACUCUGAUCAAAUGUAAUGUAAUAAUUUAGCACACAUUUGGGCUACCCUGCCUGUUGCUUUCUUUUUAUUGGAGAGAUGGUUAUGAUUGCUCAAUGACUUGAUUUGAUUAUUUGCUUGGGAUACAGCGGUCUCCAUUACUAUUGACACCCUUGCUUAAUAUAAGCAAAGAAUGCCAGGGAGAAAAUGUUUUGUUCAACCUAUUGGUUUUUUAGCUCAAAAUAAUACCAAUUAUACUGACGAUGCUUGAGCUUGUUGACAGUAGAGGCUUUUUUUUUUCUUGAAAGCCAUUCUAAUAACUUAUAAUAAUGUACAGUAGGUGACAUUGAUUGUAGUUUUUAUGACUUUGACUCUUAGUCCUAAGUAAUUUCUGCAGUUCUCCACCUGUGAUUCUUAGAGGUUUUUGGCCACUCAAACCAUCCUUCUCAACUAUAUUUAGACCAAGCUGCAAUCUCCCGCUCUCUUUCGUGAAGCAAAUAUGGAAGCAACUGAAACUGCUAUUCAUCGAAAUUCCGCUUGUCUUGGCUCCAUGAAUUUUACAGCAGAAAAAAAGGUGUUUACAGCCUGGUAUGAAGAAUGAUUUUGGUUCAGAUAGCUAAUAUUACC